AUACGUAGGGGGCGAGCGUUGUCCGGAAUGAUUGGGCGUAAAGGGCGCGUAGGCGGCCCGGUAAGUCUGGAGUGAAAGUCCUGUUUUCAAGGUGGGAAUUGCUUUGGAUACUGUGGAGCUUGAGUGCGGAAGAGGUAAGUGGAAUUCCCAGUGUAGCGGUGAAAUGCGUAGAGAUCGGGAGGAACACCAGUGGCGAAGGCGGGUAACUGGACUGCAACUGACGCUGAGGCGCGAAAGUGUGGGGAGCAAACAGGAUUAGAUACCCUGGUAGUCCACACUGUAAACGAUGAAUGCUAGGUGUAAGAGGUAUCGACCCCUUUUGUGCCGGAGUUAACACAAUAAGCAUUCCGCCUGGGGAGUACGGCCGCAAGGUUGAAACUCAAAUGAAUUGACGGGG
rnacentral:rRNA from 1 species